rnacentral:rRNA from 1 species
ACCCCCUUAGUGGGAGAGUUGCCACCGGAUCCCAUAAGAACUCCAGAGUUAAGCGUGCUCGGGUGGGAGCAGUCCACGGAUGAGUGACCUCCAUGGGAAGUCCCCGGUACGUGUGC